rnacentral:rRNA from 1 species
UAGCAGCCGCGGUAAUACGUAGGGUGCAAGCGUUAAUCGGAAUUACUGGGCGUAAAGCGUGUGUAGGCGGUUCGGAAAGAAAGAUGUGAAAUCCCAGGGCUCAACCUUGGAACUGCAUUUUUAACUGCCGAGCUAGAGUAUGUCAGAGGGGGGUAGAAUUCCACGUGUAGCAGUGAAAUGCGUAGAUAUGUGGAGGAAUACCGAUGGCGAAGGCAGCCCCCUGGGAUAAUACUGACGCUCAGACACGAAAGCGUGGGGAGCAAACAGGAUUAGAUACCCUGGUAGUCCACGCCCUAAACGAUGUCAACUAGCUGUUGGGGCCGUUAGGCCUUAGUAGCGCAGCUAACGCGUGAAGUGACCG